CCCACACCAGGAAGUGGGGGAGGAACCCCUCGGUCACUCUGGGAGAGGCAGUUCCGGGAGCCACAACACUUCAAAACCUACAAGUCACAGAUUAAAAUAUGUGCUCUAUGCCUUUCACCAUGAAGGACCCAAAGUAAAAUCACCUGAGUUGAUGGUAUCCAUUUGGGUAGAAAUUGCUAUGGAAGAAGCACAAGGUCAAAAAGAGGUAAAAUGGACUGCCUUGAGAAACUGUGGAUUUCCCUUCCUUCAAGACAAGUGA
rnacentral:lncRNA from 1 species